CCUUAGUCAGAGAAUCACAACUAACAGCUAAAAGCAAGUGUCAAAACCAAGCAAAUGAGAGAGCGAUAGUCUCUUCCCACUGUUCCGGGUGGCAAUGGAAAGAGUAAAUCCUAAAUAGACUGGAAGCUGAGAACAGACAGCCGGAAAGAAGUAAUCAGCAGACAAAGCCAGGAACAUCAGAAGUGUCGAGUGGCUCAGAUUUGAAAGAAACAAUCCUUUUGUAGACAGAGUGAUAGAGGAGCUGUAUCUGGAGGCUCUCACGUGGCAGGACUUGAAGAAUAUGGCCUUCCAUUCACAAUCCAGCAGCAAGGAGAAGCAAGGUGGGAUCUCACUCUGUCACCCAGGCUUGAGUGCAGUGGUGCAAUCUCGGCUCACUGCAACCUCCACCUCCUAGGCUCAAGUGAUCCUCCUACCUCAGCUUCCCAAGCAGCUGGGACUGAGGUGUGCACCCCCACACUUGGCUAAUUGAAACACUUCCUUCUAUCACACAAAAAGCAACAAGUACCAAACAUUUACAAAAAAUAUACUUUUUUUUUUGAAGAGGUG
rnacentral:lncRNA from 10 species